UACGUAGGGUGCGAGCGUUGUCCGGAAUUACUGGGCGUAAAGAGCUCGUAGGCGGUUUGUCGCGUUGUUCGUGAAAACCGGGGGCUUAACCCUCGGCGUGCGGGCGAUACGGGCAGACUUGAGUACUGCAGGGGAGACUGGAAUUCCUGGUGUAGCGGUGGAAUGCGCAGAUAUCAGGAGGAACACCGGUGGCGAAGGCGGGUCUCUGGGCAGUAACUGACGCUGAGGAGCGAAAGCGUGGGGAGCGAACAGG
rnacentral:rRNA from 1 species